CCGAUAAAGGCAAAUCUAAUGAAAAUUAGAGACGCAAAGCUAUAGGGCCUUCCUUACCUAGUAAGAUGGCAGCCAGUUUCCGA
rnacentral:ncRNA from 1 species